AAAUUCUGGUUCGUGCACAGGACAGAUGUCGAACGCGAUGUUGGGACAAUCGGUUCGACAAUUGCACAACAGUACAUAAAUUAAAUCAAUGAAAAAACACAGGGAAUUGUUAACCCAGUUCGGUGCAACAUCACCUACAUCUGGAGGAUACCAAUCCAGGAGUCAAUUCACUAUCAAAUAAUAGCUCUCAGGUCACAUGAAAGUCCCUCCUAUACCUAAGUACUCCCCCUUAGUAUAGAGCCUCUUCAAUGUCUACCACUAUUACAUAAGUGAAUCUAGCUUAGCCCUUCUCCUCUAAGCUAUGAGGAAACUUCCCCUAACUCCUAAUGAUCACUGCCACAGUGACCGAUCCCUUACAAGAGAUUGAAAGAUAGAUCUCAUGAUCAAACAACAAUUUGAAGAGAUUACAACUCAACUAAACAAACCAACUCUAAGCCAUAUGAUUAUCAAUGGAGGCAGUAGAGAGGUGUACAAAAUAACAGAACAAGGACUCACAAAACAAAACCCUAAAAACCCAAUCCUUGGGUGCCCA
rnacentral:lncRNA from 1 species